GGUCAUGUGGCCUAGUGGUCAUGGCAUCUGCCCGGUAAGCGGAAGGUCGUGGGGUCGAUUCCCAUCCCUUGACACU
rnacentral:tRNA from 1 species